rnacentral:rRNA from 1 species
UACGUAGGGGGCGAGCGUUGUCCGAAGUUACUGGGCGUAAAGCGCGCGUAGGCGGUCAUUUAAGUCUGAGGUGAAAGGUUCAGCGCUCAACGUGAACAGUGCCUUGGAUACUGGGUGACUUGAGUUCGGGAGGGGGCAGUGGAAUUCCAGGUGUAGCGGUGAAAUGCGUAGAUAUCUGGAGGAAUACCGGUGGCGAAGGCGGCAUCCUGGACCGACAUUGACGCUGAGGAGCGAAAGCCAGGGGAGCAAACGGG